rnacentral:rRNA from 1 species
GAACACGGAGCUUGCUCUGUGGGAUCACGUGGCNAACGGGUGAGUAACACGUGAGCAACCUGCCCCUGACUCUGGGAUAAGCGCUGGAAACGGCGUCUAAUACUGGAUAUGUGACGUGACCGCAUGGUCUGCGUCUGGAAAGAAUUUCNGUUGGGGAUGGGCUCGCGGCCUAUCANCUUGUUGGUGAGGUAAUGGCUCACCAAGGCGUCUGACGGGUAGCCGGCCUGAGAGGGUGACCGGCCACACUGGGACUGAGACACGGCCCAGACUCCUACGGGAGGCAGCAGUGGGGAAUAUUGCACAAUGGGCGCAAGCCUGAUGCAGCAACNCCGCGUGAGGGACGACGGCCUUCGGGUUGUAAACCUCUUUUAGCAGGGAAGAAGCGAAAGUGACGGUACCUGCAGAAAAAGCGCCGGCUAACUACGUGCCA